UUAUUUGGAAACCGGUGUGUUGAAGGCAUGAGGCGCUACGAUGUGCGCUCGCUGUUGGAUCGUGGUUCAAGGUCGCCUGUGUUCGAAGCGUCCCCGCUGCGCUACCGCGAUUGACUCGGUGUGUGCCUUUCGAAUCGCACUGCUUUUGCGUUUGCGAGUAUUUUGGCACGGCUGUUGAUCGGUGCGGUGGAAUUAAAAAAAUGCAUCUCGGUUCAGAGCAAACAAAGCCACGCUGCGAUUGGCAUCAGGGCAUAUACUCGCCACCGUUAGACCUGAUCGGUAGCAAACCUUCGACUUAAAGUGAUCUAGGCAAAGCAGGCUCGUGAAACUACAUUUAUGUGUUUGUUCUGAUCUGGUUGAUCGUAAACCGUAUUCAGUGUUUGUUCAUCAUAAUGCUCUCAUUCAAGAUAAUGGCAGCGACGUUUGUCGCAACGAUGGCGUUUGGUGGAGCAACAGCAGUUCAGUUGUUUCCGGCUCAAGGCCAAACCGGAAAUGGAUCGAUUGUCAUGUCAAACAGUGAUUUCGAAGUGAUGGACUUCAUGGUGAAGAAGUUUUUUCUUACUCACGAUCGCAUUCUGCUACAUCAUCCAAAUAGUGCGCUUUCUAACGAUCCCUCUACGCAUGCAACUUGAAGACACGGAGGAGAUGCGACGUACUAAGCGGCACUGCAUGAUGCUGGUUCGUGUGCUCCUAGGCGCCGCUCUUUAGUUGUGAUAUGUCUGUCCGCAAGGUCAUUUCGGAUUGGGAAAGCAAGAAAAGAUCUAACACAUCAAUUGACUGUUCAACACUUGUGAAAAUUUGAGUAAUGUUGCAUGAACCACAACAGACUGCCGAAAGAGAAAAUUGGAUUAGAGCUAUUUGAGGUUUUGUGAUACUUUUGGAUCAAUACAAUCUAUUAGUAUUCAUAUGAUUCCUUCCAUGUAAAUUUAAUUUUUAGCAUAAUUAGGAUAUGGCUGGAUGAGCUUUGCUGUUAGAAGUACAUCAAAUAUUCAAUUAUAAAUGUAUAAGAGAAUCUCUCAGGUAUUUAACAUUGUUGUAAACCAAUGACAAUAAUCACAUACAGCAACAAUAGACUACCAUGAUCGCAAGUAACUAGACUAUAGUAACCUCUAUCGUGUCAAUGUAAAUGCGGCUAAACGAACAAAUUAACGAGUCAACUGCUGCGACAAUAGCGGUGGUGUAAUAAGCAAUCCAUUAGAUAUCUCCGAUGUCCAUUUUUAGAUUAUUUAUCGUAUGUUUACGCUUAAGACUUACUACCUAUUGUGAUUUAUGGUGCACACUUUACGCAUCAUGUUGAAUACGAUCGCAUUAGUAUUACGACGGAAAGUUGUACCAAGGUAAAGUGAUACGAAUGAAAUAAAAGAAACAUGUGAUACUCAAA